GACGAACGCUGGCGGCGUGCCUAAUACAUGCAAGUCGAACGCAGUGGGGACGGGUGAGUAACACGUGGGUAACCUCCCAUCAGAGGGGAUAACACUUGGUAACAGGUGCUAAACCGAUACUGCUGGAUGGCCCAGCGGUGCAUUAGCUAGUUGGUGAGGUAACGGCUCACCACGGCCACGAUGCAUAGCCGGCCUGCAGGGGUGAGCGGCCACCCGGGGACGUAGGCACGGCCCAGACUCCUACGGGAGGCAGCAGUGGGGAAUAUUGGACAAUGGGCGAAAGCCUGAUCCAGCCAUGCCGCGUGUGUGAAGAAGGUCUUCGGAUUGUAAAGCACUUUAAGUCGGUAGGCGUUACCAGCAGAAUAAGCACCGGCUAACUUCGUGCCAGCAGCCGCGGUAAUAC
rnacentral:rRNA from 1 species